AACAUAAGAAUACACAUAACUUCAUAUAAUCCUUAAUGUCAUACACGAAAAUGGUGAACCACAAAUCAAUACAACAUUCUUGAGAAAACACAUAUACUAUUAAUAUCAAAAUUCAUAAGCAUUUUGAGCUUCCAUUGGAUUUCAGGACCUCAGAAUCACAUAUUACACAUUCAAGGUCUAAGAAGUGCCGGCAAAAGACCAAAUGUUAGCUCGAAACUAAGAAGGAAUAGCAAAAAUAGACCAGCAACACCAAAAUCAAAUCACAAGCUUCAAAUGCAAACCACUUUCAAACCCAGAUUAGAAUAGCCUUCAGAAUUCCAAAUUAAACCUCAAGAACUGUGGGAAUAUUUCAAUGAAACAAUGAAUUUUUUGUACUUCUUAGGCAUUUUUUUUUCUUUCUCUGAUUUUCUAUCACUUCAAAAUCUGCCUUGAAAAGCAAGAAUAAGAUGC
rnacentral:lncRNA from 1 species